rnacentral:rRNA from 1 species
AGAGUUUGAUCCUGGCUCAGGACGAACGCUGGCGGCGUGCCUAAUACAUGCAAGUCGAGCGAAUUUACGAGAGCUUGCUCUCGUAAAUUAGCGGCGGACGGGUGAGUAACACGUGGGCAACCUGCCUAUAAGACUGGGAUAACUUCGGGAAACCGGAGCUAAUACCGGAUAAUUCUUUUCUACACAUGUAGGAAAGCUGAAAGACGGUUUACGCUGUCACUUAUAGAUGGGCCCGCGGCGCAUUAGCUAGUUGGUGAGGUAAUGGCUCACCAAGGCAACGAUGCGUAGCCGACCUGAGAGGGUGAUCGGCCACACUGGGACUGAGACACGGCCCAGACUCCUACGGGAGGCGGCAGUAGGGAAUCUUCCGCAAUGGACGAAAGUCUGACGGAGCAACGCCGCGUGAGUGAUGAAGGUUUUCGGAUCGUAAAACUCUGUUGUUAGGGAAGAACAAGUACCAGAGUAACUGCUGGUACCUUGACGGUACCUAACCAGAAAGCCACGGCUAACUACGUGCCAGCAGCCGCGGUAAUUC